rnacentral:sRNA from 1 species
CUGCUGUGGGCAGCAGAAAUGUACGUGUCCGUCGAUACCGGCGGCUGUAAGGAUCAUGUGCUCUCCAGAGAUCGCAUCUGUAGAAGGUCCGGUGACCAGGUCAGGCGACACACCGUCCAUGACGUUUGGGUUGCCGGCUUUACCGAUUCCGGCGAUUUUGCCAUCUUUUACACCUACAUCGGCUUUUACGACUCCGAGCACGGGAUCGAUGAUGGUAACGUUGGUGAUCACCAAAUCGAGACUUCCCUGUUUCUCAGAACAUUCAUUGGCCAGGCCCAUGCCGUCGCG